UCUCUCUCUCUCUCUCUCUCUCUCUCUCUCUCUCUCUCUCGUGUGUGUGUGUGUGUGGGGUGCACAUGCACACAUGCUUUCUUGUAUGAAAACAGUGUUAUCAGGUCUUUGUGUGUUCGGUCUUUGGUGAGCCAGGGUGUGGCCAGGAUCUGAUGUAUACAAUGUAUUCUCUAUAUGUCUGUCCCCACCUAGUUGUUUGUGCUUUAAGGUGCCAGCAAGUCUCCAGCUUCCAGUGAGGUCCCUAUAUGUUGCUAUUGGGUAUGUGCCUGAAGGUGCCUAGUUUGGGGAUGUAAGUGUAUGUGUGUCAGUAGAUACAAAGGGUAGACCUGUGAUUCUCACCUUCAGGGACCUGUGGAACAAUUCUCUGGGCAGCACCCUUCCUCCCCCAGGGCUGAAACCACCAUGCCUGGCAUUACUAGCCUGCAUUGCUAGCUCUGAGCCUGCCUCACCCAGAGGUCCCUUGUCUGUGGUAACUCUGAGGCAACUGGCCACCAGAUUGGGUCAAGGUCAUACCUUGGAGAAGAUUGACACCAUCACCUCUUCCUGUUUAGAAAGGGACCCACCCCUGAGGCUGACAGCACCCCAUGCAGGACUCGAUCCACCCUAGAAUAAAUUUUCAUUUCCACACACUCAAGGCCAGCAGACCUAGUGAGCUCUGAGCUGCUGGUUGGGUUGGCAGCAGGAUGCUGGGGCUGCCAGCAAGGCCACAGGGUGGAGACUGGGUGUGGGGAUUUGACUUUCAAAGGCAGCUUGGGCUUCAAGCACAGCUGGGUGGGCGUGGCUUCUCCACUGGUGUUCUCACAAAUGUGUACCUGCAGAUGUGUUAUGUGUUUGGAUGAAACCGUGCUUUGUGGCUGUUCCUCUGUGACCCUAUGUCAGUGUUUGCAUGGGGCAAUGCGUCAAUGCAGUAAGAUUUAGAGCUCGUGAUUGUUGCCAAAUUAAUGCUCCUGAAAGCUUGUCUGGUGUCACUGGUACUCCUGGGCAUCGUCUAUAUGAGUGUGUCAGUCUUUGGGUGUUUCUAUUUCAGGUCCUGAGUUUGUGCUGGUACAUAUCUGUAGAAUGUGUAUGAAUGUGUCCCUAUUCCAGUGUGUUUGGUCUCUGUGUCAUGCGAUAUCUUCAAGUGUUUGUGCCAGUGAGUGUGUGAGUGUGUGCUGGGGUCAAAGGCCGUGGAAGUACAAGAACAAGAUAGAGAAGCAGCCAGUGCCACACUCUCCACUGCCCUCUCUAGCUACUGAAUGGAAACCAACCCUGGGCCCACCCCUCCUCCAGGGGCUGGGCAACGACCCGUGUGUACUCAAUAGGCUUUUGGGAGACAACAGCCUGGAGAGGAUGGGCCGUUAGUGGGAGGGGCACCUGAGCUAGUUUCUCCACCUUGCUGGUUGAGGGCAUGGGGGCAGCUCAUCUGUCUUAGGCAAUGGGCCUUCGCUGCUUCGAGAUCUUUGCUGACUCUGGCUGUGCUGGAGACUCUGCAUAGAGAACGCAGGAAGGGCCACUCGGACCAGAAGCAGCAGUGUCCCUGAACACCUGCAUACAUGUACCCAGAGUACAUAGUCCCCAAGCACCUCUGACAGCUUGGGUAUCUUCUCAGACGUCUAAGAUACUCAAAAGUGCGCGCGUGUGCGCCCAUGUGCACACACACACACACACACACACACACCAGAAGACUCAGGCCAAUCUAUGUAUACACUCCAAUCAUUUGACCCUCCCCAUCCCAAGUCUGAGUCUCUGAGGAAGAAGAGGACCAAGGCUCAAAGUCCCAGGGAAUAGGGCAGCCUUGAUGGCUCCUCUAUUCAAUCAUGCUCUAUGCUGAGCCUUGAGGACCCCAAACAAGAGACAGAAGCAAGGGCAGCCUCCAAAUCUAGCCGUUUCUAUAGGGUGCGAAUCCACAGCUAGUCUCAAGCUAAGGACAGGGGCUGCCUCCUGCUUCUAUGUAGGAGCCCCCAAGAGACCUGGAUGGACCCAAAGAAGGGACAUGAGUAGAAUGUGUGUUGUGACUCCUUUGGCAAGCAUCUAUCUUCAACAAAUUAUUUACAUUAUAAUUCAUAACAGUAGCAAAAUUACAGUUACAAAGUAGCAACAAAAAUAAUUCUAUGGUUGGAGGUCACCAUAACAUGAAGAACUGUACUAAAGGGUUGCAGCGUCAGGAAGGCUGAGAACCAGCUGGCCU
rnacentral:lncRNA from 1 species